UAAAGAUUUUAAGGGCGUACGGUGGAUGCCUUGGCGAUAUCAGCCGAAGAAGGACGCGGUAAGCUGCGAUAAGCUACGGAGAGGUGCAAGCAACCUGUGACCCGUAGAUUUCCGAAUGGGGGAACCCGGCAGUGGUUAUGCACUGUCACCCAUAGCUUAGACUAUGAGGAGGGCACCUGGGGAACUGAAACAUCUAAUUACCCAGAGGAACAGUAAUCAAACGAGAUUUUCUUAGUAGCGGCGAGCGAACGGGAAAGAGGCCAAACCGGAGCGGGCAACCGCACCGGGGUUGAGGACAGUCAUCAAGUGUAAAUGAGGUAGAAGAAUCGAGCUGGAAAGCUCAGCCGCAGAAGGUGAAAGCCCUGUAAUCGAAACCUUGCAUACACGGGACUGUAUCCAGAGUACCACGAGACACGUGAAACCUUGUGGGAAGCAGGGGGGACCACCCUCCAAGCCAAAAUACUGAUAUCGACCGAUAGCGCAUAGUACCGUGAGGGAAAGGUGAAAAGAACCCCUGGCGGGGAGUGAAAGAGAACCUGAAACCGUAUGUCUACAAACAGUCGAAGUCUGUAUAUAUAUCAGGACGACGGCGUGCCUAUUGAAGAAUGAACCGACGAGUUACUGUUGCUAGCGAGGUUAAGUGGAAAACAUGGAGCCGCAGCGAAAGCGAGUCUGAACAGGGCGUUCAGUUAGUAAUAGUAGACCCGAAACCGUAGUGAUCUAUCCAUGGCCAGGUUGAAGCACAGGUAAAAUUGUGUGGAGGACCGAACUCGUGAGCGUUGAAAAGCUUUGGGAUGAGUUGUGGAUAGGGGUGAAAUGCCAAUCGAACACGGAGAUAGCUGGUUCUCCCCGAAAUAGCUUUAGGGCUAGCCUCGAGGUAGAGAGUAUAGGCGGUAGAGCACUGAUCGGGCUAGGGGCCAUACCGGUUACCGAACCUAGUCAAACUACGAAUGGCUAUACUUAUACUCGGGAGUCAGACAGUGAAUGAUAAGGUCCAUUGUCAAGAGGGAAACAGCCCAGAACACCGACUAAGGUCCCCAAUGUUACACUAAGUGGCGAAGGAUGUGGAAUUUCCAAAACAACCAGGAUGUUGGCUUAGAAGCAGCCACCAUUUAAAGAGUGCGUAAUAGCUCACUGGUCGAGAGACUCUGCGCCGAAAAUGUCCGGGGCUAAAGUGUAAAACCGAAGUCGUGUCAUAUGCAGCAAUGUAUAUGGGUAGGGGAGCGUUCUCAUCGGGCUGAAGCAGUACCGUAAGGAGUUGUGGACUGAUGAGAAGUGAGAAUGUCGGUAUGAGUAGCGAAAAGAAUGGUGAGAAUCCAUUCCACCGAAAGCCUAAGGGUUCCUGAGCAACGAUCGUCGUCUCAGGGUAAGUCGGGACCUAAGCCGAGGCGGAAAAGCGUAGGCGAUGGACAACAGGUUGAAAUUCCUGUACCGGUGUGAAUCGUUUGAUCGAUGGAGUGACACAGUAAGGUAGGUCAGCACGCGAUUGGAAGAGCGUGUUUAAGCAGGUAGGUUGAGCUAUAGGCAAAUCCGUAGCUCUAAAAGCUGAGAUGUGAUGACGAGUGACUAGCAAUAGUCGCGAAGUGAUUGAUCCUACACUGUCGAGAAAAGCUUCUAGGUAGAGACACAUCGCCCGUACCAAAACCGACACAGGUAGGCGGGGAGAGAAUCCUAAGGUGCGCGGGAAAACCCUCGUUAAGGAACUCGGCAAAAUGCCUCCGUAACUUCGGGAAAAGGAGGACUCAUGUAGUGUGAAGUGCAGCAACGCAUGGAGCAUGAAUGAGUGGCACAAGAGAGGCGCAAGCGACUGUUUACCACAAACACAGGUGCCUGCUAAAGCGAAAGCUGAUGUAUAGGUGCUGACACCUGCCCGGUGCUGGAAGGUUAAGAGGAGGGGUUAGACUUCGGUCGAAGCUCUGAAUUGAAGCCCCAGUAAACGGCGGCCGUAACUAUAACGGUCCUAAGGUAGCGAAAUUCCUUGUCGGGUAAGUUCCGACCCGCACGAAAGGUGUAACGA
rnacentral:rRNA from 1 species